rnacentral:rRNA from 1 species
AGUGAACGCUGGCGGUAGGCCUAACACAUGCAAGUCGAACGGCAGCACAGUAAGAGCUUGCUCUUACGGGUGGCGAGUGGCGGACGGGUGAGGAAUACAUCGGAAUCUACUUUUUCGUGGGGGAUAACGUAGGGAAACUUACGCUAAUACCGCAUACGACCUACGGGUGAAAGCAGGGGAUCUUCGGACCUUGCGCGAUUGAAUGAGCCGAUGUCGGAUUAGCUAGUUGGCGGGGUAAAGGCCCACCAAGGCGACGAUCCGUAGCUGGUCUGAGAGGAUGAUCAGCCACACUGGAACUGAGACACGGUCCAGACGCCUACGGGAGGCAGCAGUGGGGAAUAUUGGACAAUGGGCGCAAGCCUGAUCCAGCCAUACCGCGUGGGUGAAGAAGGCCUUCGGGUUGUAAAGCCCUUUUGCUGGGAAAGAAAAGCAGCAGGUUAAUACCCCGCUGUUCUGACGGUACCCAAAGAAUAAGCACCGGCUACUUCGUG